rnacentral:rRNA from 1 species
UACGUAGGGUGCAAGCGUUGUCCGGAAUUACUGGGCGUAAAGAGUGUGUAGGCGGUGUUCCAAGUCUGGUGUGAAAUCUCCCGGCUCAACUGGGAGGGUGCGCCGGAAACUGGAAUGCUAGAGGGUGGGAGAGGUAAGCGGAAUUCCUGGUGUAGCGGUGAAAUGCGUAGAUAUCAGGAGGAACACCGGUGGCGAAGGCGGAUCUCUGGGCCUGAUCUGACGCUGAGGCGCGAAAGCUAGGGGAGCGAACAGG